rnacentral:rRNA from 1 species
GACGAACGCUGGCGGCGUGCCUAAUACAUGCAAGUUGAGCGCUGAAGGUUGGUACUUGUACCAACUGGAUGAGCAGCGAACGGGUGAGUAACGCGUGGGGAAUCUGCCUUUGAGCGGGGGACAACAUUUGGAAACGAAUGCUAAUACCGCAUAAAAACUUUAAACACAAGUUUUAAGUUUGAAAGAUGCAAUUGCGUCACUCAAAGAUGAUCCCGCGUUGUAUUAGCUAGUUGGUGAGGUAAAGGCUCACCAAGGCGAUGAUACAUAGCCGACCUGAGAGGGUGAUCGGCCACAUUGGGACGGAGACACGGCCCAAACUCCUACGGGAGGCAGCAGUAGGGAAUCUUCGGCAAUGGACGAAAGUCUGACCGAGCAACGCCGCGUGAGUGAAGAAGGUUUUCGGAUCGUAAAACUCUGUUGGUAGAGAAGAACGUUGGUGAGAGUGGAAAGCUCAUCAAGUGACGGUAACUACCCAGAAAGGGACGGCUAACUACGUG